AGUGAACGCUGGCGGCGUGCUUAACACAUGCAAGUCGAACGAGAACGGGUUAUAGCUUGCUAUAAUUGUCAGCUAAGUGGCGCACGGGUGAGUAAUGUAUAGGUAAUAUGCCUCUUACUAAGGGAUAACAAAUGGAAACGUUUGCUAAUACCUUAUACUCCUUAUUAACAGCAGUUAAUAAGGGAAAGAUUUAUUGGUAAGAGAUUAGCCUGUAUUGUAUCAGUUAGUUGGUGGGGUAAUGGCUUACCAAGACUAUGACACAUAACUGGUUAGAGAGGAUGAUCAGUCACACUGGAACUGAGACACGGUCCAGACUCCUACGGGAGGCAGCAGUGGGGAAUAUUGCACAAUGGACGAAAGUCUGAUGCAGCAACGCCGCGUGGAGGAUGACACAUUUCGGUGCGUAAACUCCUUUUAUAUGAGAAGAUAAUGACGGUAUUAUAUGAAUAAGCACCGGCUAACUCCGUGCCAGCCGCCGCUGUAA
rnacentral:rRNA from 1 species